rnacentral:rRNA from 1 species
GAUGAACGCUGGCGGCGUGCCUAAUACAUGCAAGUCGAGCGAACGGACGAGAAGCUUGCUUCUCUGAUGUUAGCGGCGGACGGGUGAGUAACACGUGGAUAACCUACCUAUAAGACUGGGAUAACUUCGGGAAACCGGAGCUAAUACCGGAUGAUAUUUUGAACCGCAUGGUUCAAAAGUGAAAGACGGUCUGGCUGUCACUUAGAGAUGGAUCCGCGCUGCAUUAGCUAGUUGGUAAGGUAACGGCUUACCAAGGCAACGAUGCAUAGCCGACCUGAGAGGGUGAUCGGCCACACUGGAACUGAGACACGGUCCAGACUCCUACGGGAGGCAGCAGUAGGGAAUCUUCGGCAAUGGGCGAAAGCCUGACGGAGCAACGCCGCGUGAGUGAUGAAGGUCUUCGGAUCGUAAAACUCUGUUAUUAGGGAAGAACAUAUGUGUAAGUAACUGUGCACAUCUUGACGGUACCUAAUCAGAAAGCCACGGCUAACUACGUG